rnacentral:rRNA from 1 species
AAUGGAGGUAGAGCACUGAAUUGCCUAGGGGGCUUCACAGCUUACCGAAGCAUAUCAAACUCCGAAUGCCAUAUAGAUGAUGAUCAGGAGUCAGACUAUCGGAGAUAAGUUCGAUAGUCAAAAGGGAAAGAGCCCAGACCACCAGCUAAGGUCCCAAAGUGCGUGUUAAGUGGAAAAGGAUGUGAGAUUUCGAAGACAACUAGGAUGUUGGCUUAGAAGCAGCCAUGCAUUCAAAGAGUGCGUAAUAGCUCACUAGUCGAGAGGUCUUGCGCCGAAAAUGUCCGGGGCUAAAACACGCCACCGAAGCUGUGGAUUGGUACGUAAGUAUCAGUGGUAGAGGAGCAUUCUUAGAUUGGAGAAGCUGUACCGUAAGGAGCAGUGGAGAGCUAAGAAGAGAGAAUGCCGGAAUGAGUAGCGAGAGAGAAGUGAGAAUCUUCUCGGCCGAAUAUCUAAGGUUUCCAGAGUAAAGCUGAUCUUCUCUGGGUAAGUCGGGACCUAAGGUGAGGGCGAAAGCCGUAGCCGAUGGACAACUAGUUGAAAUUCUAGUACCGCAUAUAAACAGAACUGUGGGGACGCAGGAGGAUAACAAGAGCCAGGAAAGGAAAAACUGGUGCAAGCACAAAGGCCGUUGGAUAGGCAAAUCCGUCCAGCUAAGGUUGAAGUGUGACGCGGAUCGAAUUAAAGUAGAGAAGCUUGUGAAUCCAUACUGCCAAGAAAAGCCGCUAUUGUUUUAUAUGUGCCCGUACCGCAAACCGACACAGGUAGAUGAGGAGAGAAUCCUAAGGCCGACGGGAGAAGCGUUGUUAAGGAACUCGGCAAAAUGACCCCGUAACUUCGGGAGAAGGGGUGCCAUCUUCGGAUGGCCGCAGAGAAUAGGCCCAAGCGACUGUUUAGCAAAAACACAGGUCUCUGCAAAACCGAAAGGUGAAGUAUAGGGCUGACGCCUGCCCGGUGCUGGAAGGUUAAGGGGAAGGAUUAGCGUAAGCGAAGUCUAGAACUUAAGCCCCAGUAAACGGCGGCCGUAACUAUAACGGUCCUAAGGUAGCGAAAUUCCUUGUCGGGUAAGUUCCGACCCGCACGAAAGGCGUAACGAUUUGGGCACUGUCUCGACAACGCGCCCGGUGAAGUUGUAGUACCGGUGAAGAUGCCGGUUACCCGCGACAGGACGGAAAGACCCCAUGGAGCUUUACUCUAGCUUGAUAUUGGGAUUCGAUGUUACAUGUACAGGAUAGGAGGGAGGCUUUGAAGCGAGGACGCCAGUCUUCGUGGAGCCACUGUUGGGAUACCUCUCUUGUAAUAUUGGAUUUCUAACCUAGCACCCUAAACGGGUGUGGGGACACUGUCAGGUGGGGAGUUUGACUGGGGCGGUCGCCUCCGAAAGUGUAUCGGAGCGCUCAAAGGUCUUCUCAGAAUGGUUGGAAAUCAUUCGUAGAGUGCAAAGGCAUAAGAAGGCUUGACUGUGACACCGACGGGUGGAGCAGGUAGGAAACUAGGACUUAGUGAUCCGGUGGUAU